rnacentral:rRNA from 1 species
AGAGUUUGAUCCUGGCUCAGGAUGAACGCUGGCGGCGUGCUUAACACAUGCAAGUCGAACGAACCUUCGGGUUAGUGGCGGACGGGUGAGUAACGCGUGAGAAUCUGCCCUCAGGAGGGGGAUAACAGCUGGAAACGGCUGCUAAUACCCCAUAUGCCGCGAGGUGAAAUGAAUUUCGCCUGAGGAUGAGCUCGCGUCUGAUUAGCUAGUUGGUGUGGGUAAUGGCUCACCAAGGCAUCGAUCAGUAGCUGGUCUGAGAGGAUGAUCAGCCACACUGGGACUGAGACACGGCCCAGACUCCUACGGGAGGCAGCAGUGGGGAAUUUUCCGCAAUGGGCGAAAGCCUGACGGAGCAACGCCGCGUGAGGGAUGAAGGCCUCUGGGCUGUAAACCUCUUUUAUCAAGGAAGAAGAUCUGACGGUACUUGAUGAAUAAGCCACGGCUAAUUCCGUGCCAGCAGCCGCGGUAAUACGGGAGUGGCAAGCGUUAUCCGGAAUUAUUGGGCGUAAAGCGUCCGCAGGCGGCCCUUCAAGUCUGCUGUUAAAAAGUGGAGCUUAACUCCAUCAUGGCAGUGGAAACUGAUGGGCUUGAGUGUGGUAGGGGCAGAGGGAAUUCCCGGUGUAGCGGUGAAAUGCGUAGAUAUCGGGAAGAACACCAGUGGCGAAGGCGCUCUGCUGGGCCAUCACUGACGCUCAUGGACGAAAGCCAGGGGAGCGAAAGGGAUUAGAUACCCCUGUAGUCCUGGCCGUAAACGAUGAACACUAGGUGUCGGGGGAAUCGACCCCCUCGGUGUCGUAGCCAACGCGUUAAGUGUUCCGCCUGGGGAGUACGCACGCAAGUGUGAAACUCAAAGGAAUUGACGGGGGCCCGCACAAGCGGUGGAGUAUGUGGUUUAAUUCGAUGCAACGCGAAGAACCUUACCAGGGUUUGACAUCCUGCGAAUCUCUUGGAAACGAGAGAGUGCCUUCGGGAGCGCAGUGACAGGUGGUGCAUGGCUGUCGUCAGCUCGUGUCGUGAGAUGUUGGGUUAAGUCCCGCAACGAGCGCAACCCACGUCUUUAGUUGCCAGCAUUUAGUUGGGCACUCUAGAGAGACCGCCGGUGAUAAACCGGAGGAAGGUGUGGAUGACGUCAAGUCAUCAUGCCCCUUACAUCCUGGGCUACACACGUACUACAAUGCUACGGACAAAGGGCAGCAAGUUCGCGAGGACAAGCAAAUCCCAUAAACCGUGGCUCAGUUCAGAUCGUAGGCUGCAACUCGCCUACGUGAAGGAGGAAUCGCUAGUAAUCGCAGGUCAGCAUACUGCGGUGAAUACGUUCCCGGGCCUUGUACACACCGCCCGUCACACCAUGGAAGUUGGCCACGCCCGAAGCCGUUACUCCAACCCUUGUGGAGGAGGACGUCGAAGGUGGGGCUGAUGACUGGGGUGAAGUCGUAACAAGGUAACC